rnacentral:snRNA from 1 species
GAACAUGAGGGCAAUCUGGCUGCAACAUCUGUCACCCCAUUGAUCACCAGGGGUGAUUAGGCUGAUCUGGCUGGCUAGGCGGGUGUCCCCUUCCUCCCUCACCACUCCAUGUGCAUCUCCGAAAGCUGCACACUCAGUCAAAGAGGGUGACCAUCCUGGAGAGAAGAGGAGCAUUCUUCAGUCAAGGGUGUACUAGUAGCUGCACUCCCCUGCUAGAACCUCCAAACAAACUCUCAAAGUGAUUUUUUAAAAUAUGUAUGUAGUUUUCACUGGCAU